AGCGUUAUCCGUCGUGAUUGGGUGUAAAAACAGCUAGGCCGCUAGGUUAUUCAUUUUUUGAAAAGAACUUCUUUAAGGUUUAUGGAAUGAUUAGCUUAUGCUUGGGCUGGUCGGACGUUUGUAGAAUCGUAAGUGGAGCGGUAAAAUGCUUAGAUAAUUGCGGGAUUUUCGAAAUGUGGCAAGGCGACCUGCGACGACUAGCCGACGCUGAACUGUUAAAGUAUAAGUAUCGAAGAGGAUUGGAGACCCUCGUAGUUUAUACCCUGAAUAAUGAAUGUCAAUUUUUAAAGUUAGCUAACGCAAGAACAUUCUGCCUGAAGAGUAAGGCCGCAAGGGCUAAAUUUAAAGAGAUUGGCGGGAGUUUAGAUAAAUGGUGGAAUAUGUGGUUUAAUUCGAUAAUCCGCGGGAAACCUUACCAGUGUACGGCGCCAAAUUGAGAUAACUAUGUGUCUGGUCUUAUCGAUAUUUGUUUCGUUUAGGUACUGCAUGGCUGUCAUCAGUUCGUAAUGUAGGUAUAUUUCGAACACAAUCUUUGUUAACCACUAAGUGAGAGUUUUUGCUGCGCGGUUUGAAACAAAGCAACCGUCAGUCUUACUUAUUGUAGUUUUUUCAUUUAUUUUUAAGUGAAUUGGGAGGAGAAGUCAAGUCAUUAUGGUCUUAAUAUGCUGGGCUACACACGUAUUACAGGGCUAAAGACAAUGAGUAUUGCCUCGAAGCAGUUAUAUUCUAAAAAUUAGCUCGGUUCGGAUCGUUCUUUGAAAUUGAGGAGCGUGAAGUAGGAAUCAUUAGUAAUCGCAAAUAAGAUCGCUGCGAUGAAUCUUUAUACACUUUGCACACACCGCCCAUCAUAUUCGAAGAGUUGUCGCGGUUUGAAGGUUUGCGUUUGUUUCGGUACGUUUAGCUUACCGUAAACCAAUUUACCUAAAAACGUGGUG
rnacentral:rRNA from 1 species